rnacentral:rRNA from 1 species
GAUGAACGCUAGCUACAGGCUUAACACAUGCAAGUCGAGGGGCAGCAUGAACUUAGCUUGCUAAGUUUGAUGGCGACCGGCGCACGGGUGAGUAACACGUAUCCAACCUGCCGAUGACUCGGGGAUAGCCUUUCGAAAGAAAGAUUAAUACCCGAUGGCAUAAUUCUUCCGCAUGGUAGAACUAUUAAAGAAUUUCGGUCAUCGAUGGGGAUGCGUUCCAUUAGGUUGUUGGCGGGGUAACGGCCCACCAAGCCUUCGAUGGAUAGGGGUUCUGAGAGGAAGGUCCCCCCACAUUGGAACUGAGACACGGUCCAAACUCCUACGGGAGGCAGCAGUGAGGAAUAUUGGUCAAUGGACGAGAGUCUGAACCAGCCAAGUAGCGUGAAGGAUGACUGCCCUAUGGGUUGUAAACUUCUUUUAUACGGGAAUAAAGUGAGGCAUGUGUGCCUUUUUGUAUGUACCGUAUGAAUAAGCAUCGGCUAACUCCGUAGCCAGCAGCCG